rnacentral:rRNA from 1 species
UGGGGAAUAUUGCACAAUGGGCGCAAGCCUGAUGCAGCCAUGCCGCGUGUGUGAAGAAGGCCUUCGGGUUGUAAAGCACUUUCAGCGGGGAGGAAGGCGGUGAGGUUAAUAACCUCAUCGAUUGACGUUACCCGCAGAAGAAGCACCGGCUAACUCCGUGCCAGCAGCCGCGGUAAUACGGAGGGUGCAAGCGUUAAUCGGAAUUACUGGGCGUAAAGCGCACGCAGGCGGUCUGUCAAGUCGGAUGUGUAAUCCCCGGGCUCAACCUGGGAACUGCAUUCGAAACUGGCAGGCUAGAGGCUUGUAGAGGGGGGUAGAAUUCCAGGUGUAGCGGUGAAAUGCGUAGAGAUCUGGAGGAAUACCGGUGGCGAAGGCGGCCCCCUGGAGAAAGACUGACGCUCAGGUGCGAAAGCGUGGGGAGCAAACAGG